rnacentral:rRNA from 1 species
CAGUAGCCACGGGAAUACGUAGGGUGCAAGCGUUAAUCGGAAUUACUGGGCGUAAAGCGUGCGCAGGCGGUUUGUUAAGACAGAUGUGAAAUCCCCGGGCUCAACCUGGGAACUGCAUUUGUGACUGGCAAGCUAGAGUAUGGCAGAGGGGGGUGGAAUUCCGCGUGUAGCAGUGAAAUGCGUAGAUAUGCGGAGGAACACCGAUGGCGAAGGCAGCCCCCUGGGCCAAUACUGACGCUCAUGCACGAAAGCGUGGGGAGCAAACAGGAUUAGAUACCCCAGUAGUCCCUGUCUCUUAUAC